AUUGAACGCUGGCGGCAGGCCUAACACAUGCAAGUCGAGCGGAUGAGUGGAGCUUGCUCCAUGAUUCAGCGGCGGACGGGUGAGUAAUGCCUAGGAAUCUGCCUGGUAGCGGGGGACAACGUUUCGAAAGGAACGCUAAUACCGCAUACGUCCUACGGGAGAAAGUGGGGGAUCUUCGGACCUCACGCUAUCAGAUGAUCCUAGGUCGGAUUAGCUAGUUGGUGAGGUAAAGGCUCACCAAGGCGACGAUCCGUAACUGGGCUGAGAGGAUGAUCAGUCACACUGGAACUGAGACACGGUCCAGACUCCUACGGGAGGCAGCAGUGGGGAAUAUUGGACAAUGGGCGAAAGCCUGAUCCAGCCAUGCCGCGUGUGUGAAGAAGGUCUUCGGAUUGUAAAGCACUUUAAGUUGGGAGGAAGGGCAGUAAGUUAAUACCUUGCUGUUUUGACGUUACCAACAGAAUAAGCACCGGCUAACUUCGUGCCAGCAGCCGCGGUAACAC
rnacentral:rRNA from 1 species